rnacentral:rRNA from 1 species
UACGUAGGGUGCAAGCGUUGUCCGGAAUUAUUGGGCGUAAAGAGCGUGUAGGCGGCCAGGUAGGUCUGCUGUGAAAACUCGAGGCUCAACCUCGAGAUGUCGGCGGAAACCAUCUGGCUAGAGUCCGGAAGAGGAGAGUGGAAUUCCUGGUGUAGCGGUGAAAUGCGUAGAUAUCAGGAGGAACACCUGUGGCGAAAGCGGCUCACUGGACCAUAACUGACGCUGAUGCACGAAAGCUAGGGGAGCAAACAGG